AUUGAACGCUGGCGGCAGGCCUAACACAUGCAAGUCGAGCGAGCGGCGGACGGGUGAGUAAUGUCUGGGAAACUGCCGGAUGGAGGGGGAUAACUACUGGAAACGGUAGCUAAUACCGCAUACCAUCAGAUGUGCCCAGAUGGGAUUAGCUGGUAGGUGGGGUAACGGCUCACCUGGGCGACGUGCCCUAGCUGGUCUGAGAGGAUGACCAGCACAACUGGACCGGGGCACCGGCCCGGACUCCUCCGGGAGGCAGAAGGGGGAAAUAUUGGACAAUGGGGGCAAGCUGGCUGCGGCAAGGCCGCGGGUAUGAAGAAGGCCUUCGGGUUGUAAAGCACUUUCAGCGGGGCGGCGUUACCCGCAGAAGAAGCACCGGCUAACUCCGUGCCAGCAGCCGCGGUAAUUC
rnacentral:rRNA from 1 species